CCUGACUGAAGGCUUCCAACUGCAAGGCUGACUGAAAACCUGCCCCUAAACAAACCCAAGAAGUUUAAUAGCUACUGUGGAGACUGCAAUUGGAUGCAAAUUUUGGGUCUGGCUUUUCAGAGAUGACACAGCAAGCCCCAGGUCAGAUGUAUGCCCAGUUCACAUCGGUCAGGAGAAGAGUGGGAGAGGAAAUUGUUAUCACAAUUGCAAAAGCCUGGCAGAAAAAUUAUUACAGCAUGAUCAAGUUCCAUCAUCAAGUGAAAAGGCAAAACGCUGCACUAGCAGUGUACCCUGUGGAGUGGCUGCAAAUACACAACAUGCCCAAAGCUGGUUUGUGAACAAAAACAUAUUCUCACAUUACUCUCUGUCCUAUUUGCUUUAACUGCAUUUCCUGCAUUUUCACUACUUUGUUACUUUUGCAUGACUGAGGAAGGCAAACAGUAGCAUAACCAGUACCUUGGCAGUGAUUUGGUAGCUGCAGAACUUCCUUGUACAGCAGUACAGCAUUUGCUUCAUUUAUUAAGUCAUUAGAGAACUCUUACGACGUUAUAACGGCAGCUGCCUAAGGUAUUGUUUGUCUAAAUGUUGCACUGGGGGCCAGGGAACACACGACUGCCUCUGAACGUCAUAACCAGCCUGAAACUCCUGAUAACUACACUUUCCUCCCUCUCUCCAGCCUUUGAGUAAAAAAUAUUUGUAUUCAGAUGGUAUCUGUUUAAAUAUUUGUAUACCAGGUCUGGCCACGUACCUCAGCACUUCCAGCACAUUGGUAUCUAUAGGUGCUGAAUGAUUCCAAAG
rnacentral:lncRNA from 1 species